AUUGCGAUUUGCAAGCAUGGGGCAUGCAGCAUUUAUACCGUGAGACAGAAAAAAUGGACUAUAUAGUAGGAGUACGUCACUACGUCCUGUAUAGGACUCCAUCUACUCACAUCAGCCACGCGCGCGGAUAGCUCGCUCGCUAGCCGGGAGACAUGGCGCCCGCGACACAAAUGGCAGCUCCACCACCUCGCGGCGGCAGCUUCCGCGUCCUGCGCACCGCUCGCGUCGCACCGUCGUCGCCCGACGGUGUCCCCUCGCUGCGCCAGCGUGCCGUCCCGCUCACCUUCCUGGACGCGAUGUGGCUCCCGACCCCGCCCGUCGACCGGGUCUUCCUCUACCGCCUCGGCGCCGCCGACGACGACGUCGACGCCGUCCUGUCCCGGCUGGCUGACUCGCUGUCCCGGGUGCUCCACGUCUUCUACCCGCUCGCCGGCCGCCUCCGCCUCACUCCCGGCAAGACCAACCGGUACGAGCUCUUCUACCAGCCAGGCGACGCCGUCGCCUUCACCGUCGCCGAGCACGACGACGGCGUCGGUGUCGACGAGCUGGCCGCGGACGACCCGAGGGAGGUCGCCAAGAUCGCCCCGCUCGCGCCGGAGCUCCCGGAUGGCGGCGCGGUGCUGGCCGUGCAGGCUACCGUGCUGCCCCCCGCGCGCCGCGGCCUCGCCCUCGGCGUCACCGUGCACCACGCCGCCUGCGACGGCUCGAGCUCCACGCACUUCCUCCAUACCUGGGCCGCCGCCUGCGCCGGCGCUGUGGUGCUGCCGAAGCCGCCCGUCAUCGACCGCACGUUCAUCCGCGAACGUGAGGACCUCUACGACAUCAUGGUCAAUCGAACGAAGGAGGAGUCUGACAAGUUCAGCUCGCCCGACGUCGCCGACAACAAGCUCCUCGCCACUUUCACGCUGUCAGGAGAGAUCCUUCAGAACAUCAAGGAUAUAGUCGCCGCCCCCUCGGUGCACGUCCAUCGUCGCGACGUUCGCCGUCAUAUGGCAGUGCCACAUCCACGCCGCACUAGCAAGCGACGUCGAAGCAGAGAACAACCCUCGAAACCAUGGCCGUGCCCACUUCGUCUUCCCCACCGAUCACCGGGCGCGGAUGGAACCCCGCGUCCCCGACAAGUACCUCGGCAACUGCGUCGGGCCAUGCUUCGCCUCGGCGCCCAAGAAAGAGAUCGCCGCCGCCGACGCGGAGGACGGCCUCUUCACGACCUGCGCCGCGAUCGCCGCCGCCAUCGACGAAGGAACGAGAUACGAUCCCGGCUACUGGGAGAGGUGCAGGGAGCACGUCAGAGGGAUGAGCACGAGCGACGGCCCGCCGCUAGCGGUGGCCGGGUCGCCGAGGUUCCGCGUGUACGACGUGGACUUUGGGUUCGGGAGGCCGACGAAGGUGGACGUCGUGUCCGUGGCGAAGACCGGGGCGAUCUCGGUGGCGGAGGGCCGCGGCGGCGGCAUUGAGGUGGGCGUCGGUUUGCCGCCGGAGCGGAUGGAGAGGUUCCGGAGGUGCUUCACUGAUGCCGUCACGUGGCUAUCGUCGCCAUCGUCCAGUGACACGUGACACGUGGCGCGCGGCAGGCAGGCAGGCAGGCACGUGUCGCUUGGCUUUCGUGGGCUUCGAUGGGCUGCUUCCGUCAGCUAUCACGUGCGUGCCCUAUGUGAGCCGUCGGAUGGCUUGGACGAUUGAUAAGUGCUGAAGGCACGCUAUAUGCACAUGCACCCCGGACGCUUUGCUCUUUUUUUUUUUAAGAGAAUACCGUAGUAUUGUAUCGACGUAUCCGUAUCCCAAUAUCCAUCCCUAUUUAAAACAUAUAUGGAUUUUUCUCAUCGUCGCAGAUAAAUUUGUAAUGAAAAAAACAAAUUAAACUACA